rnacentral:rRNA from 1 species
AUUGAACGCUGGCGGCAGGCCUAACACAUGCAAGUCGAACGAGUGGCGGACGGGUGAGUAAUGUCUGGGAAACUGCCCGAUGGAGGGGGAUAACUACUGGAAACGGUAGCUAAUACCGCAUACCAUCGGAUGUGCCCAGAUGGGAUUAGCUAGUAGGUGGGGUAACGGCUCACCUAGGCGACGAUCCCUAGCUGGUCUGAGAGGAUGACCAGCCACACUGGAACUGAGACACGGUCCAAACUCCUACGGGAGGCAGCAGUAGGGAAUAUUGCACAAUGGACGAAAGCCUGAUGCAGCAACGCCGCGUGAGUGAAGAAGGUUUUCGGAUUGUAAAGUACUGUCGUCGGGGAAGCGGUAAUCGAAGAGGAAGUACCGGCUAACUACGUGCCAGCAGCCGCGGUAAUAC